CUCCCGGUAGCUCAGCGGACAGAGUGCUUGACUACGAAUCAAGAAGCCGGAGGUUCGAUUCCUCCUCGGGAGAC
rnacentral:tRNA from 1 species